AGGCAGGGUGCUGCGAAGGUGCCAUCACGGCGGCGGAAGUGCGGGAAGCGAUGGCAGAAUGCUCGAGGGACAAAUCACCGGGUUUGGAUGGUCUACCCUACGAGCUUUACAAUUGUAUGCCAGACUUGUUUGGAGAUCUCUUGGCGGCGGUGUACUGCAACUGGCAGCAAAACGGGAGCAUUCCUGGUUUUGUGAGCCGAGGAGCCGUAACACUGCUGAAGAAAGAUCUAAACAAGGGAAAUGUAAUAGAUAACUUUAGGCCCAUCACUCUGCUUAAUGCAGACUUGAAAAUUUUGGCCAAGGUGCUAGCCAAGAGGUUGGCGCUUGUCAUCGAGAAACUGGUCGACAAGGCGCAAACAUGCGCUGUGCCAGGCCGGACCAUCCAUGACAACCUCCAUCUGAUGCGCUACAUCAUAGACAGGGUAGUUAACGAACCUAGCAUGGGUGGGGCCCUGAUCAACUUGGAUCAAUCGAAAGCCUUUGAUAGGGUAGACCAUCGAUACUUGGGGCAGUCCUGAGAGCGGCUGGUUUCGGUCCCGUCUUCCGCGGCUGGAUAGCUGCCUUGUACAGAGGCAUCCGUUCGGUAAUUCGCGUAAAUGGACAUCUAUCGAGACCUUUCGACAUUGCACGUUCGGUCCGUCAGGGAUGCCCCCUCUCGGCGCUUCUAUACGUAUUGACUCUUGAGCCACUACUGCGGAAGCUGGCGACUCUAAGGGGCAUCCCGCGAGAAUUGGGAUGCGGGACGAGCGUGUCUGCAUACGCGGACGACGUCACCGUCAUAGUGUCUAGCCACGAGCACAUCGAGCGGGUCGGCGAGACACUGAAAAACUACGAAGCGGUGACAGGAGCGAAAAUCAACCGGGAAAAGUCAGUGGGCUUGCGACUAGCACCUGGAGAAGCAAGCCCAUGCCGUCCACCAGCGCCUCCGUCGUGGGACGCUGGACCGACGGCCCGGUUGAGUUGCUCGGGGUCUAGUUUGGUCCGGACCUCCAAGUGGAGAAGAACUGGAACGAGAUAACGAGUAGGGUGGUCACUCUCGCCCGGCAAUGGGCCGAGAGGAAACUGUCCCUAAAAGGUCGAGCGGAGGUGGCGAACACGUACAUCGCGUCCGUCAUCUACUACCGCCUGACCGUCGUACCUUGUCCCGACCCUACCAUCACCAAACUACAACGCAUCCUCUUUCGCUUCUUGUGGAAAGGAUGCGUCCCGAUGGUCAGGCGAUCCAUUUGCUGUCAACACCCGUUAAAAGGAGGGCUGGGCAUGCCGUGGUUGAUGAUGCGCAGACACGCGCUGAGACUGCGACAUCUCUGGCUCUAUGUAGACGACGGUGAACAGGUGUGGUCGCCGUUUGUGAGGCACGCUUUCCCGCAGCUCGUCUCCAUGACCGAACUGCAGUCGUGGAUCAAAAAGAGGCCGAGGAAGGGCGAAUGGCACCGCGAGUGUCGCGUUGCUCUCAAGCAACUCUGCCGUCCUGGGUCGACCUUAAGUGACUUCAACACAACCAAAGCAUUCUAUAGGGGUUUAGUGGAGGGGAGGUACGACGACGAGCUCGGGGCGAACCUGGACGUCGACGAGGAGUACCUGACCCGCCUGUUCAGGACGACUUUCGGGCCAGGGCCCAUGGACAACUUCCAGAGAUCCCUGGCCUGGCAGUGCUACCGAGAAGCGCUACCCGUUCGGGAUAAGCUCUACAGACACAGCUCGAGAAACACGGGGCCGACCUGCCCGAGAUGCGGUCAGAGCGACGAAACCGUUCUGCACGCACUCGUUCAGUGUCCAACAAUUUCCGACCUGUGGGCUUAUGUCGAACAACUGCUGUCACGUGUGGGACGAGUCGGUUUAUCAGCUGAGUCUAUCGUCAAUAUUGUCACACCUCCUUCCUUCAAACGGGAAGGAAGAGCUAUUUUCAUCAUCCUUGUGGCUAUGGCGAAAGAAUGUAUCUGGUGGACGCGUCUGAAAGGAUUGGAGACAAACACUUUCCUCUCUGGUCAAUCUCUCAUCAACUUCUUCAAGUACCACUUGAAAAGGAAAGUGAGAGUAGAGAGGCAAGUUUUGUCUAGCGAAUGUUUUAAAAAAAGAUGGGUGAAUGUAGCAAGAAUGGCACGUAUGAAUGAUGAAGCCACCUUGAGCAUAGUCCUAUGAACCCAGAAAUCGAAAACAGAGAGUUGCUUAUUUGCAAAAAAAAAAAAAAAAAAAAUAUAAAAUGUGACUUCAUUGACCGAGGUUACCGUGGUCUUUUCCGUAGGCUUUUCUUUCCACGGGUAAACCUCACCUGUCCUCCCCUUUACACUUCAUAUUGACAUUUCUGUGAUAACGAUCCCUAUUGAUCAAUUUUUUUUCCUCUCCCCCUUUUUUUUUAACCCCCCUUUUUUGUCCUCUUUCUCUCCUUUUACGAUCCCUUUUGAUCGAAACUCCCCCCCUUUUUUUUUUUUUUUUUAACCCUUCAAAAGAAAAGCUCUACCUUGUAAUUUGUUCUAUCUGUGUGCAGCCCUGUGUGGCU
rnacentral:lncRNA from 1 species